UCAAAAAAUGGGUUUUGUAGCACUGUUCAUUAUACACAAAUAUAUUUAGUUACAUUAACACAUACACAUUUAUUUUUAAGACAAAAUACAAGUGUAAUGUGUUAUGCUAAAUCAAUUUGUUAUUCACUCUGGUUUACCUAAAUACCUAUCUUUAAACUAAAGUAAUUGGUUUACUUUGCGAUAGAGAGUAGACCUAUUAUCAGGUUCAUAUUCCGGAACAGAGGGGGCGGUAAUGCUCCAUUAAGCUGGUUACCAACCGCUGGUAAAAAAGAAAGAAGAAGAAGAAGAAGAAUUUUUUUCAAACUAAAGGAUGUGACGUCAUUUUAACGACUUCCACGAAGACGGCGCGCAGGUGAUGGUGUGUCAUACCACAAUGACUUCUCCAGUCUGGCUAAAAGUUACAAAAGGUGAUCCUUCAGUAUGCCAUUCCUACUUCAGUGAGUGACCUGUCAAAGGAAAUAGAAAAACAAUGUAAUCUACAAGGACAUUUAAGGCUGCAGUUCAUGGAUUCUGACUUGGGCAAUUAGUUUUUAAAUCUCAUGUACACAUCUGAAAUUCAAGACAAAAGUACACUAAAGGUGGUAUUCCUGACAACACCAAGUGAUUGUGACAACUUGCCCCCACCACAACUGAACAGUUCUCAAAAGGAGUACCUGCUCAUCACCAGCUCUUUCACUUUCAUCCUGUGACACAGUCAUUUUUUCAACCCAAUCUACAUCAUUAAGCUCUGACUGUGUUGCAAAAGUGUGUCUUGCCAAAUAUAUAACAAAACUGAGAAAAAUUGGCUGUAAUGAAGUGAAAUUAAAUUUACUCAAGCCCAAACCAGCUGGAAUUUCCAGUGCUGUUUACCAUAUAUAUAUAAAAAAAAACAUGCAAUGCUGAGGUGAACUACUGCCCUUACCAUCCACAAGCGGAGACAUCCAAAACACUGGAAGUAGUCAGUUUAAUACUUCUGUCUGAAAUUAAAAAGAACAAUAAGAAAACAUUAUGAAUGCGGAUGGACAAGACCUUUUCUAUCAGGAGACAUGAGGUUGUCAAGGAAUCGCCUUCAAUAGCAGAUUUCAAAACUAGAUGGCCUGCUCUUUUCAGAAGGGAAGAGAUUUGUGCACAGUUUAAAAGAAUCACAACAGCCACAUUGGUGUCUACAUACUUGGCGAAGAUGAAUCCAUAUUCUGCAAAGCUUAUAAGGAUCUAUGCAAAACGAGGAGUCGUCAAUGGACAGAGAAUUAAAAACCUGCUGGUCUCCACAACACGGACUGACAACAUUGAUCAGACUCUGAUCUUUCUUUGUCUACCUGAAUGAAGACCCGACCGGUCUAAUUAAAGAGUAUUUGGAUACAGAUGCACCCAGUACCCAGGAGGCGAUCCAGAAGAUGGUAAUGGGAGUGCUUGUUGUAAAAAUGUAUGGUUCAGACAUCGAAGACAGCCCAGCAGAUGUUGGAGUGUUAUUAAAGGGAUUAAGAGUUCUCGGACCUCAACAACAUUGUGUAUGCAACAACCAUGCUGAUGGGACUGAAAUAUGAACUGAACUUGAGCUACUUUCCCAAAUUCAGGUACACUUUUGAAGUAUUGCAGUUGUUGUUUCUGGAGCUAGAUGGGAAGUAACUAUCUCAUAAAGUUCAGACGCUGAAGACCAAGCCUUUUGCAGAUGUUUUGAGAAAGGAAUGUUUUAAUAUUUCAUAUGUAAAUGCCAUGUUUUUGAAAUGGCAGUACAAUAACAUUCAGGAAGUAAGCAGUGUCGUCAAUUUAUUUUGAUAGUUUUGCAGUGUGUUUCUAUUUAAUUAGAUUAAUGUAGAGUUGUUUAAAGCUUUGGCUGUACGUAAAUGGUCCUGCAUCUAAUUUGUCAUGGAAUGUUAACGUUUAUAAUGUUUUUACAGUACCAUUUAACUUAAAAUUAUACCAAAGUUGUUGAAAAAUCUUUGGAAGUCGCAUGUGCCAGCUCUCUGAAUGGAGAGCAACCUAUUUUGUCAGUUAGCAUUACAGUUGUGUAAUAAUGUUGUUUAAUUAUACGUAUCCGGGGGCUUGAAAAAACUGCCUGAAUGGUGCUUCGUGCAUUUCAUUUGUCAGUAAGUGUAAAAAAUUGUAAUGUUAUAAGGUUACAUUGUAAUAUCCAACUUUGCAAGUUUUUCAAGUUGAUGAGUGCAUCUCAUUUGUCGGUAUAUCCUUUACGGUAUCUGUAGUUUAAGUGCAAUAAACAUGGCUUGAAGAACUGGUGUCUGAGAAUCUUUUAUGAAUAAAAUGAAUGUUAUAUAGAGUUUAUUACAAAAAGUAUAUUUUUGUGUGUGAUUUAACUUGAAAUAGAAAUUGUUGUGUUAAAGUAAAUAAAAGUAAUUGGAUGGAACCACUGUCCACAAUGUAAAUGAGUUGUAUGAAUAAACUACUCUUGAUUUGGACAAGCAAAAAAUAUUUGAUUAGUUUGUACAAGUUAAACACAUGUUCAGAAAACGUAACAAUCUUAAGUUAUGGAUAAGUAACUAAGAUAAUUUUGUUAAACAUUACCACUUCACAUUAGUUAUUUAUUAUUCAAUUGUGUUGCUGCAACAAAAGAAUUUGGCAUUGACUGAAAACAACCCUUAAAUGUUAAUAAAAACUAACUGGGUUGUGUGGAACCACUGUCCACAAUAAAAUUGUGUUCGUUUAAAGUAU